rnacentral:sRNA from 1 species
GCUGGGCAUGGUGGCGCCUGCCUGUAAUCCCAGCAGCUCAGGAGGUUGAGGCAGGAGGAUCGCAAGUUCAAAGCCAGCCUCAGCAAAGGCGAGGUGCUGAGCAACUCAGUGAGACCCUGUCUCUA